rnacentral:tRNA from 1 species
UAAUACGUAGGUGAAUCGAACACCUGUCAACUGUUUCUAAGACAGCCCCAUAAACCACUCUGGCAACGUAUC